GAUAAACAAAAUGUGGUAUAUCUGUAUAAUGGAAUAUUACUCAGCCAUAAAAAGGAAUGAAGUGCUGAUACAUGAUACAACAUGGAUAAUCUUCGAAAGCAUGAUAGUAACUGAAAGAAGCCGGAUAAAAAGGUUACAUAUUGUUUAAUUCCCUUUAUAUAAAAUAUUCAGGACAGGCCUCUGUUCUGAAUAUUUUAUAUUCUGUCUCCAUGGAGAAAGAAAGCAGAUUAAUCGUUACUAGGGGCAGGGAAAGAGGGAAUAAGUGACUGCCUAAUGAACACAGGAUUUUCUUUUCUGAUGAUGAAAAUUUCUUAGAACUAGAUAGAAGUUGUCUUAGUCUGUUUUGUGUUGCUAUAACAGAAUACCUGAGACUGGAUAAUUUAUAAAGAAAAGAGGUUAAUUUAGCUCAAGGACCUGCAGGCUUGGAAGUUCAAGGAUAUGGCCCUGGCCUCCCGUAAGUGCUUUUGUCCUGCAUUAUAGCAUGGCAGAGAAGGUCAAAAGGAAAGCAGACACAUGCCAAGAGGGACUAGACGAGGAAAAUCUUGCUUUUUAACAAUUCUUUCUUGAAGGAACUCAUCCAUUCCUAGAGAAUUAAUCUAGUCUCAUGAGAGCAAGAACUCAUUACUGCAAGAAGGAUACCAAGCAAUUUGUGAAGGAUUCACCCCCAUGAUCCAAACACCUCCCACUAGGCCCCACCUCCCCAAACCACCACACCGGGGAUCAAAUUUCAAAUUUGGUGGGGACAAAUACACUAUAUCCAAAACAUACCAGAAGUGAUGGUUGCACAUUAUGAAUGUGCUAAAUGCCACUGAAUUGUACACUUUAAAAUGGUUUAUGGUUAAUUUCAUGUUAUAUAAAUUUAACCUCAAUUAAAUGUACACACACACACACACACACACACACAGAGAGAGAGAGAGAGAGAGAGAGAGACAGAGGGGCGGGGGAGCAUGGUCAUCCUCAAGGUUUCUGUAACUUCUACUCUGCCAGUAAUUUCCCACUUGCUGGUAGAAUUAAAGGUCCAUCAUAUCAGGGACAUUAGUUAUUUUCCUACCCUGUAAGACAGGGGUUCUUAACCUUUAAGUUCACCUUCAAGGGGUCAAAAGACCCCUUGAAGUUAUACGUAAAAAUUUAAGUCUAUGGGCAUUUUUCUGGGAUGAGAGACCACACAGUGUUAAAAAUGGAAGUUUCAACACCAUGACACAGACAACAUCUUCCAAAGUAAGGAAGAAGUCUCCCAAAGGAGAUGCCCAAAAACUGGUUAAACAACUCUAAAUCCUUCAGGCACAUACAGAAGGUUGGAGGGUGAUGGGUGAGAAAGGUGAUUUUUAAGAAAGAAUAUUUGGAGAUGCCUAUUUGUGUGCUUUGAGGCACUGUUCCACAAGCAGGAAUGGAAAUUGCUUCGUUUUUCAUUUCAGAUUGAGAGGGACUCCUUAAGAGAACACUCACAGAGCUGAACUCCCCAGUCUGAAUCCUACCUGUAAGAUCUACAAGCAGAGCCGCGUGUCUCCCCCUGGACUUGAGGAGCUUUCUUUGAAGUCACAGGGCAGAAACUGUGCACGUGGAAGAGAGUCUCACCUGUCAUCCAGGAUGGAGUGCAGUGGCAUGGUCAUGACUCACUGC